GAUCUUAACCCGUGAUUGCUGGGACUGGCUCUAGCUCUAUCAGGAGCCGUCGCUCUUUUACAAAGAGGGGUGGAGGUUCCAGUGGAGAUUGUUGUUGCUUUUUUUUUUUUUUUUUUUUUUGAAUGGAGGGGGGGGGCGACUGCUGCAGCUGGGCCAGCUGCGCGGGCUGCACCCCCUCCCAGCCUGCGAGAGGAGCUCAUUCUGGCCACAGAGAGAAGAAAGGAUUGCAAGGACUACAAUGGGUUCUGGGAAUUGCCCAUCCCCACGCUGCCCCUUCAGUUCCAGGAGUGAUAAUGGAGCCCUGGUGUUCCUGGUUCCAGGGCGCUGCGCCAUCCCUGUAGUUUCCCUACACUCUGCAAAGUGUGCCUAUGUUUGCAAAUAAUUUCUCAACUCUCCUCAAAUGACCACAUUUGUUCUGCUUGACUUUAUAGAGAAAUUAUAUCAGCUGGAUAAAUCGGAGGAAAGUUUAGCAGUCAUUUAACCUAACUCCUUUGUUUUGCUUGUUAUACAUGUGGAUGACUGGAUUUUGUUUCCUAGCAAGUUGGACAAGCUUUGUCUUUUCACUACAGAGCAGUCCAUUUCAGUUUGCUUGUAUUAAUAUGAGUAUUGUAAAUUAUUAAAUUAGUCAGAUUUCUUUCUAUUUUA